UACCAGCACCCCGAGUGGUCGGGACGAUUAUUGGGCCUAAAGCAUCCGUAGCCGGUUCUACAAGUCUUCCGUUAAAUCCACCUGCUCAACAGUUGGGCUGCGGAGGAUACUAUAGAGCUAGGAGGCGGGAGAGGCAAGCGGUACUCAGUGGGUAGGGGUAAAAUCCUCUGAUCCAUUGAAGACCACCAGUGGCGAAGGCGGCUUGCCAAUACGCGCUCGACGGUGAGGGAUGAAAGCUGGGGGAGCAAACCGG
rnacentral:rRNA from 1 species